rnacentral:rRNA from 1 species
CCUACGGGAGGCAGCAGUGAGGAAUAUUGGUCAAUGGGCGAGAGCCUGAACCAGCCAAGUAGCGUGCAGGAAGACGGCCCUAUGGGUUGUAAACUGCUUUUAUACAGGGAUAAAGUUCGCCACGCGUGGUGUUUUGUAGGUACUGUAUGAAUAAGGACCGGCUAAUUCCGUGCCAGCAGCCGCGGUAAU